GGUGGCUCAGUGGUAGAGUGUUUGCCUUGUAUGUAUGAGGCCCUGGGUUCAAUACCUCAGCACCA
rnacentral:tRNA from 1 species